GGGGAUUUAGCUCAGCAGUGUAAGCACCUGCCUGGCAAGCAUGAGGUGAUGCCUUCAAUCUCCG
rnacentral:tRNA from 1 species